UACGUAGGGGGCAAGCGUUGUCCGGAUUUAUUGGGCGUAAAGAGCGUGUAGGCGGUUAGGUAGGUCCGUUGUGAAAACUCGAGGCUCAACCUCGAGACGCCGAUGGAAACCAUCUAACUAGAGUCCGGAAGAGGAGAGUGGAAUUCCUGGUGUAGCGGUGAUAUGCGUAGAUAUCGGGAGGAACACCUGUGGCGAAGGCGGCUUUCUGGGCCCUACCUGACGCUGAGACGCGAAAGCGUGGGGAA
rnacentral:rRNA from 1 species